rnacentral:rRNA from 1 species
UACGUAGGGGGCAAGCGUUGUCCGGAUUUAUUGGGCGUAAAGAGCGUGUAGGCGGCCAUGUAGGUCCGUUGUGAAAACUCGAGGCUCAACCUCGAGACGCCGAUGGAAACCAUGUGGCUAGAGUCCGGAAGAGGAGAGUGGAAUUCCUGGUGUAGCGGGUGGAAUGCGCAGAUAUCAAGGAGGAACACCGGGUGGCGAAGGCGGGGUCUCUGGGGCAGUAACUGACGCUGAGGAGCGAAAGCGUGGGGAGCGAACAGG